GUGGUUUGAAUCAUUAUCAUUCAUCUCUUUUGUCCCUAAUGUAAAAUAUGUUAUCAGAUUAAUCAACGUAAUCACUACUGCUUAUCUGACUGCUAUUCAGAAAAAAUAAAAUCUAAAAAGGUGUAAACCUUCCACUAAAAAGUAAUAACCAUCCCUAGGUACUACACACAUCUGCAUUCGGAAGGAGGCAUAACAAAGUUCCAACCAUA
rnacentral:lncRNA from 1 species